AGAGCUGUAGCUCAGUGGUAGAGCAUCUGCUUUGCAUGCAGAAGGUCUCUGGUUCAAUCCCCAACACCUCCA